AUGUCCACCGCCACCGGCGCAGCCGCCUCGAACUCCCUCUCCCCCACCACCAGCCGGCGAUCAUCGCCAUCUUCCAGGAUCCUGACGACCCCUCGCGGAUCUCUUUCUUGCAGACUACUAUCCUCUUCCCCAUCGCAAUCUCCCCUCGGCCCGGUCUCUGCCAUGGCCUCCCCGGGCGCUGCUGGCGAGGCGGCUUCCAGGAAGAAGCUUCUCAUAUUCGACGCCGAGAAGGACCUGGCGGCGUCUCUGGCCGAGCACGCGGCGGGACUGUCGGAGAAGUUCGCCGCCGAGAGGAGCGCUUUCACAGUCGUGCUUUCCGGCGGCUCUCUCAUCAAAGCUCUGAGGAAACUGGCUGAGCCGCCGUACCUGGAGGCGGUGGACUGGAGCAGAUGGCACGUUUUCUGGGCGGACGAGAGGGUGGUUCCCAAGGACCACGCGGAUAGUAACUACAAACUUGCCAUGGAUGAGUUUCUCUCUAAGGUGCCGGUUCCUGCUAACCAAGUUUACGCCAUGAAUGAUGCACUGUCGGUUGAGGGAGCUGCGGAUGACUAUGAAAAUUGUUUAAAGCAACUCAUCAAGAAUGGUGUGAUUGCGGUGUCACCAGUAACUGGGUUCCCAAAGUUUGACCUUAUGCUUUUGGGGAUGGGCCCUGAUGGCCAUAUCGCCUCCCUCUUCCCUGGACACCCUAUUGUCAACGAAAACCAGAAGUUGGUCACCUAUGUCAAGGAUUCUCCAAAGCCACCACCAGAGAGAAUAACAUUCACAUUCCCUGUGAUCAAUUCGUCCGCACAUAUCGCACUUAUGGUCACUGGUGCUGGGAAAGCUGGUGCAGUUCACAAAGCGCUUUCAGCCAAUGAAAGUUCAUCAGAUUUGCUGCCCGUUGAGAUGGUUGAGCCGCAAGACGGAGAGAUGACCUGGUUCACUGACAAGCCAGCUAUGUCAAUGUUGUCAAGGAUCUGA
rnacentral:rRNA from 1 species